rnacentral:misc_RNA from 1 species
GCGAAGCUUCCGCCGAGGCGGGGGGCGUUCAUACGAACAGCCUGAGCGCCGCCGGAGAGGCGGUGGCCGUUGGGGGAGUUGUAGGUGCCCUUGAUGAACUGGUAGGCGGAGCCGCCGACGGCGCCCAUGGCGAAGGCGCCACCGAGAUCAUCGAGGAUGCGAUCGGGGCAGGGCUCGCGGGCGGUCUCCGGGGUGCUCAUGGCGGAACCCUAACGGCGGCGGCGGAGCCCUAGC